rnacentral:rRNA from 1 species
AACACGUGGCUAACCUACCCUGAGGAGGGAGAUAACCCCGGGAAACUGGGGAUAAUCUCCCAUAGGCGAGGAGUCCUGGAACGGUUCCUCGCUGAACAGGCUCAUGGGCUAUUCCCCGCUCAUGAGCGCCUCAGGAUGGGGCUGCGGCCCAUCAGGUAGUUGGGGGGGUAAGGGCCCCCCAAGCCUAUAACGGGUAGGGGCCGUGAGAGCGGGAGCCCCCAGUUGGGCACUGAGAGCAAGGGCCCAGGCCCUACGGGGCGCACCAGGCGCGAAACGUCCCCAAUGCGCGGAAGCGUGAGGGCGCCACCCCGAGUGCUCCCGUAAGGGAGCUUUUCCCCGCUCUACAAAGGCGGGGGAAUAAGCGGGGGGCAAGUCUGGUGUCAGCCGCCGCGGUAAUACCAGCCCCGCGAGUGGUCGGGACUCUUACUGGGCCUAAAGCGCCCGUAGCCCGACAAGUCACUCCUUAAAGACCCCGGCUCAACCGGGG